AACAGGAUUAGAUACCCUGGUAGUCCACGCAGUAAACGAUGAUUACUAGGAGUUUGCGAUACAAUGUAAGCUCUACAGCGAAAGCGUUAAGUAAUCCACCUGGGGAGUACGCCGGCAACGGUGAAACUCAAAGGAAUUGACGGGGGCCCGCACAAGCGGAGGAACAUGUGGUUUAAUUCGAUGAUACGCGAGGAACCUUACCCGGGUUUGAACGUAGUCUGACCGGAGUGGAAACACUCUUUCUAGCAAUAGCAGAUUACGAGGUGCUGCAUGGUUGUCGUCAGCUCGUGCCGUGAGGUGUCGGCUUAAGUGCCAUAACGAGCGCAACCCUUAUCACUAGUUACUAACAGGUGAAGCUGAGGACUCUGGUGAGACUGCCAGCGUAAGCUGUGAGGAAGGUGGGGAUGACGUCAAAUCAGCACGGCCCUUACAUCCGGGGCGACACACGUGUUACAAUGGCAUGGACAAAGGGCAGCUACCUGGUGACAGGAUGCUAAUCUCCAAACCAUGUCUCAGUUCGGAUCGGAGUCUGCAACUCGACUCCGUGAAGCUGGAUUCGCUAGUAAUCGCGCAUCAGCCAUGGCGCGGUGAAUACGUUCCCGGGCCUUGUACACACCGCCCGUCAAGCCAUGGGAGCCGGGGGUACCUGAAGUCCGUAACCGCAAGGAUCGGCCUAGGGUAAAACUGGUGACUGGGGCUAAGUCGUAACAAGGUAGCCGUACCGGAAGGUGCGGCUG
rnacentral:rRNA from 1 species